GGUGAAUAUGGAAGGAGACAGCCAUCACUUCUAUGGCAGUCAUCCAGAUAGGCCAAGGAGUCACAGGGCGGAUGGGGACUGCCUAGGCUCUCCCUGGCCAAACACCAGGGCAGGCACAAGAACCCAUGUCUGAAUCGCCAGAACCCACGUGAAAAAACAAAACAGCAGCAGCAAACAACAACAACAAAACAACCAACCAAACUAAAAACCCAGGUGAUGUGGCACUCCCAAUAUCGGUGAAGCAGGGGUAAGAGGAUCCAGGAAGCUUCGUGGCCAGUCAGUAUUACUGACUCAUCGAGCUCCAGGUUCAUCGUGAGACACGGUCUCAAAGAAUAAGGCUGAGUGUGAAGAUCCGCCUUGCCACUUAGCAGUGUGUGAACUUGCUAAGCACCCCUGCCACCCUCCCAGAUCAUAUGCACAGCGCUGAUAGGAAAAUGCACUUCAGAGGGUUGUGAAGAGAACCAGAAUGUUCUCCAGGCUCCACCCAAUGCCAAGGGUCUAGCCAACAGACUGAGUUCCAGCUUCGCAACAGCAUCCUGACCAAAACCAGGUUUGUGUGGUCACCCUAUCCCAGCUCCUUCAGUCUCCAGGCAAACACUGCAGCACCUUUUUGCUUUGAGAACCGUGUCCUUCAUCUUGAAAAACCAAAGGCUGAGCUGGCACCACCGAGAGGCACUAGUAGAGUUAAUUAUCUGAGCCACAAAGAUCCAGAGGUACUAAGCGACAUCAGUAGUUUGUGACUAAGUACCAAACAUUCUUCCAUCUCAGCAUUGGCUCCCUGAUGGCAAACGUGGUGAC
rnacentral:lncRNA from 1 species